AUGGUGUCCGCGUUUCCUCGACGCUUUUUACCGUGGAAAGUAAUUUUAGACAGCAAAAAGUGUCGAGACACUAACAUGUGGCCCGGACGUGAACCUAAUUAGUUGUACCGCAUCCACAAAAAUCGCCCAACAUCAGGAAACCCUCCCACUCCUCAUAUCCGAACACCUCGAAAACUACUAUCUUCUUUUUUCCUUCACUAGAUCUGAGUUCUUUACAGAGAUUCAUGGAGUGAUGACCCAGAGUGAAAAUUCAGAUCCUCUUUCUCGCGUUUCACAUAAUCUAUCACAAUAAUUUAUAUAUCAUGCCGAAAAUUAUUGUUUUACUAUCAGAUUUGAUGGUUUGCAUUCAAAUUCGAUUUGCGAUAGCCAUUGCUCUUGUUCUCCUCACAGAGUUAUUGGUUGGACCAAAGCAGAGUUUGGCCCUCGAAUAGAAGAAAAAGAAGGGGUUUUUGAAACCGAAGAUCACCUUCUCAUUAUAUUCUAGGAAAAUGGUGUGCAGUAGAAUCGCCGGGUCUCUAAAGGGCGAAAAUUGCUGAAUGUGGCCUCUCACACUAUGGUCAAUGAUCUUGACAUGGAUAUGUGGCCAAACAUUCAUUCGUCAAAAGAAAUACCUUUGAGAAGCUUAAGGUGUAGUCAUUGGCUGUACCACACUACAAGAUACAUAAUGAUGGGUGUUCUCUAAAAUUAUUCUUGAGUUAUUAUUGUCACUACUCUGUGGACUGCCACUGGUUGAGGUUUGUUUAUCGGUCCCACAAGAAUAUGAAGUCACUUAACAGGGGAAGGAUUCGUUACAUACACUAAGGCAAUUUAUCAGCAACAGGUGUAAAGAGGGGAAAUUUUUUUAGCAAGAUGUCAAAAGAGCAAGAGGUGGCUGCUGAUUUGGUUGAUGCAAUCCCAUGUCCAUUAUAUGUAUAUAUGACAUGUUCAAGUAAGAAAUAAAUAAUAUGCCUUGAAUUGAUUUUCCAUGUAAGAGAGGUUUAAGUGCAACAUCCCCCCUAUGAUUGCUCUGAAGCUAGUGAUAUUUAUUAUAUUUUAACUACCGUUUUCUAUUGAACUGUGCGGUUUUCUGUCUUCUUUAUAUAGGUUUAUCAAAAACUUUGUUAACUCAAACUUGGAUAUGAGUGUCUGGCCCUACUGAAGUUUCAGGUGUGAAACUACAAUUUUCCCUCUCUUAUCCCUCUAGCUUCCCUCUCUCCAUUAAAAAGAAAUGUAUCUUUUGCAUUUGCUCAUUGCAGUUUUCAUGCGGUUGUGAUUUUGAUUUCUUCAAACAGUUUAUAUGCUUUUGUCAUCCCAGGCCACACUAAACCACUAGUUCCUGCCAAUGAUCCAGAAACAUCAAAGGGUGUGUUGUGACUUCAAGGCCAACAAUGAUUGGUCAGAAGUUGAGCUUUGCUUUAUGCCCCCUUGCAAGCAGACUAAGGAGCAGCUAAACUAGAGAUUGAUAGAAGUUUUUUGUGAUGAUAUUAGCUGAUAUGUUCCACUACAACUAGUCACGAAUGAAGUAUAAGUUGGAAUCAUAUCCUUUGUAAUAGAGAACUCAUUAGUACGAGAUAUUAUACAUGUACUGUAAUAUUUAUAUUAUGCAACAAAAAAAUUGGCCUAAUUUUGUUGUGUAUAUAUUGGUAAUUAAUACUAGUUUCAGUGUGAA